AAUGGUUUUAGCAUAUGUCAUGCAUCAUGAGUAUACAGUAGGUUGCUUGCAUUAGAAUUCACGAAUAUGUUGCAUUGCAUAGUUAUUUGUUGAUGUGGGUGAAUGCUAAAUGAUCCAAUAGUCACUGAGAUAAGUCCAGGAGCCUUUGACUACGCCCUGGCAGGUAUAGUAAAGUCCAGGAGCCUUUGACUACGCCCUGGCAAUGGUAAGUACAGGUGUUAUAGACACAUAUACAUAUAUGAGACAGGAAAUCCAGGUGCCUUUGACUACGCCCUGGUAUGAGAUACUGGG
rnacentral:lncRNA from 1 species